AGUCGUACGCUUCUUUUUCCCCGGAGCUUGCUCCACCGGAAAAAGAAGAGUGGCGAACGGGUGAGUAACACGUGGGUAACCUGCCCAUCAGAAGGGGAUAACACUUGGAAACAGGUGCUAAUACCGUAUAACAAUCGAAACCGCAUGGUUUUGAUUUGAAAGGCGCUUUCGGGUGUCGCUGAUGGAUGGACCCGCGGUGCAUUAGCUAGUUGGUGAGGUAACGGCUCACCAAGGCCACGAUGCAUAGCCGACCUGAGAGGGUGAUCGGCCACAUUGGGACUGAGACACGGCCCAAACUCCUACGGGAGGCAGCAGUAGGGAAUCUUCGGCAAUGGACGAAAGUCUGACCGAGCAACGCCGCGUGAGUGAAAGAGGUUUUCGGAUCGUAAAACUCUGUUGUUAGAGAAGAACAAGGAUGAGAGUAACUGUUCAUCCCUUGACGGUAUCUAACCAGAAAGCCACGGCUAACUACGUGCCAGCAGCCGCGGUAAUACGUAGGUGGCAAGCGUUGUCCGGAUUUAUUGNGCGUAAAGCGAGCGCAGGCGGUUUCUUAAGUCUGAUGUGAAAGCCCCCGGCUCAACCGGGGAGGGUCAUUGGAAACUGGGAGACUUGAGUGCAGAAGAGGAGAGUGGAAUUCCAUGUGUAGCGGUGAAAUGCGUAGAUAUAUGGAGGAACACCAGUGGCGAAGGCGGCUCUCUGGUCUGUAACUGACGCUGAAGCUCGAAAGCGUG
rnacentral:rRNA from 1 species